rnacentral:sRNA from 1 species
GCUGGGUGUGGUAGUGCACGCCUGUAAUCCCAGAGGCUGGGGAAGCUGAGACAGGAGGAUGGAGAGUUCAAAGCCAGCCUCAGCAAUGGCAAGGCGCUAAGCAACGCAGUGAGACCCUGUCUCUA